rnacentral:rRNA from 1 species
AGUGAACGCUGGCGGUAGGCCUAACACAUGCAAGUCGAACGGCAGCACAGUAAGAGCUUGCUCUUACGGGUGGCGAGUGGCGGACGGGUGAGGGAUACAUCGGCAUCUACUUUUUCGUGGGGGAUAACGUAGGGAAACUUACGCUAAUACCGCAUACGACCUACGGGUGAAAGCAGGGGAUCUUCGGACCUUGCGCGAUUGAAUGAGCCGAUGUCGGAUUAGCUAGUUGGCGGGGUAAAGGCCCACCAAGGCGACGAUCCGUAGCUGGUCUGAGAGGAUGAUCAGCCACACUGGAACUGAGACACGGUCCAGACUCCUACGGGAGGCAGCAGUGGGGAAUAUUGGACAAUGGGCGCAAGCCUGAUCCAGCCAUACCGCGUGGGUGAAGAAGGCCUUCGGGUUGUAAAGCCCUUUUGUUAGGAAAGAAAAGCAGCAGGUUAAUACCCCGCUGUUCUGACGGUACCCAAAGAAUAAGCACCGGCUAACUUCGUG